UUAAGUUCAGCGGGUAUCCCUACCUGAUCCGAGGUCAACCUUAGAGAAGAUUGGGGGUGAGACAGGCCCCGGCCGGAUCCUCACAGAGCGGGUGACAAAGCCCCAUACGCUCGAGGACCGGACGCGACGCCGCCACUGCCUUUCAGGCCUGUCCCCCCAAAAAAGGGGGGGGACAGCGCCCAACACACAAGCCGCGCUUG
rnacentral:misc_RNA from 1 species